AGAGUUUGAUCCUGGCUCAGAAUAAACGCUGGCGGUAUGCAUAACACAUGCAAGUCGGACGAGAAAGAGGGUUUCGGCCCUUGAGUAAAGUGGCGAAUGGGUGAGUAACGCGUGAGCAAGCUACCUUAAAGAGGGGGAUAACACUUUGAAAAGGGUGCUAAUACCCCAUAAGAUCACAGAUACGCAUGUAUAAGUGAUAAAAGGGAGCUUUCGGGCUUUUGCUUUAGGAUGUGCUCGCGUACCAUUAGCUAGUUGGUGGGGUAAUGGCCUACCAAGGCAGUGAUGGUUAGCCGGCCUGAGAGGGUGUACGGCCACACUGGGACUGAGAUACGGCCCAGACUCCUACGGGAGGCAGCAGUGGGGAAUAUUGCGCAAUGGGGGAAACCCUGACGCAGCAAUACCGCGUGAGCGAUGAAGGCCUUUGGGUCGUAAAGCUCUGUUAGGUGGGAAGAAGUGUAAUAUGGUAAAUAGCCAUAUUAUUUGACGGUACCACCAGAGGAAGCCCCGGCUAACUCCGUGCCAGCAGCCGCGGUAAUACGGAGGGGGCGAGCGUUGUUCGGAAUUACUGGGCGUAAAGGGCGUGUAGGCGGCCUGUUAAGUUAGGUGUGAAAGACCAUGGCUCAACCAUGGAAUUGUGCUUAAAACUGACGGGCUUGAGUAUAGGAGAGGAGAGUGGAAUUCCCAGUGUAGCGGUGAAAUGCGUAGAUAUUGGGAGGAACACCGGUGGCGAAGGCGGCUCUCUGGACUAAUACUGACGCUGAGGCGCGAAAGCCAGGGGAGCGAACGGGAUUAGAUACCCCGGUAGUCCUGGCUGUAAACGAUGGGUACUAGGUGUCGGAGGUAUUGACCCCUUCGGUGCCGCAGCUAACGCAUUAAGUACCCCGCCUGGGGAGUACGGUCGCAAGAUUGAAACUCAAAGGAAUUGACGGGGGCCCGCACAAGCGGUGGAGUAUGUGGUUUAAUUCGAGGCAACGCGAAGAACCUUACCUGGGUUUGACAUGCUUGAGACCGCCGGUGAAAGCCGGCUUUCCCUUCGGGGACUCUUGCACAGGUGCUGCAUGGCUGUCGUCAGCUCGUGCCGUGAGGUGUUGGGUUAAGUCCCGCAACGAGCGCAACCCCUGUCCAUAGUUGCCAUCAGGUAACGCUGGGGACUCUAUGGAGACUGCCGGUGAUAAGCUGGAGGAAGGUGGGGAUGACGUCAAGUCCUCAUGGCCCUUACACCCAGGGCUACACACGUACUACAAUGGUCGGUACAGAAGGUUGCAAUACCGCGAGGUGGAGCUAAUCCUGAAAACCGGCCUCAGUUCAGAUUGGAGUCUGCAACUCGACUCCAUGAAGGAGGAAUCGCUAGUAAUCGCAGAUCAGCAGGCUGCGGUGAAUACGUUCCCGGGCCUUGUACACACCGCCCGUCAAGCCACGGAAGUUGGGAGCACCCGAAGUCGUUUGCCUAACCGUAAGGAGGGCGGCGCCGAAGGUGAAACUGGCGACUGGGGCUAAGUCGUAACAAGGUAACC
rnacentral:rRNA from 1 species